rnacentral:rRNA from 1 species
AUUGAACGCUGGCGGCAUGCCUUACACAUGCAAGUCGAACGGUAACGGGCCUUCGGGUGCCGACGAGUGGCGGACGGGUGAGUAAUACAUCGGAACGUGCCCGAUCGUGGGGGAUAACGAGGCGAAAGCUUUGCUAAUACCGCAUACGAUCUACGGAUGAAAGCAGGGGACCGCAAGGCCUUGCGCGGACGGAGCGGCCGCUGGCAGAUUAGGUAGUUGGUGGGAUAAAAGCUUACCAAGCCGACGAUCUGUAGCUGGUCUGAGAGGAUGAUCAGCCACACUGGGACUGAGACACGGCCCAGACUCCUACGGGAGGCAGCAGUGGGGAAUUUUGGACAAUGGGCGCAAGCCUGAUCCAGCCAUGCCGCGUGCAGGAUGAAGGCCUUCGGGUUGUAAACUGCUUUUGUACGGAACGAAAAGCCUUCUUUUAAUACAGGAGGGUCAUGACGGUACCGUAAGAAUAAGCACCGGCUAACUACGUG